UGGGCUGUGGCUCAGUCUAGAGUGCCUGCCUUGUAUGCACAAAGCCUUGGGCUCAAUCCCCAGCACCCUAA
rnacentral:tRNA from 1 species